GCUGGGCAUGGUGGCACAUGCCUGUAGUCCCAGCUACUCAGGAGGCUGAGGUGGGGGAAUUGCUUGAGCCCAGGAGAUUGAGGCUGCAGUGAGCUAUGAUGGCGCCACUGCCCUCCAGCCUGGGCAACAGAGUGAGACCCUGUCUCAA
rnacentral:sRNA from 1 species